UAUUAUUAUUUUUUUAUAUAUAUUUUUUUGAGCUGAUUUUGCUGUGUCCGAAGGACGUUUGCCAUUUCCGCAGAGUGAGGACAGAAGAGACACUUGAAGAGCCGCAGCUGUUGUGUACUAUGAAGAGGAAAAGGGUUGAAUAAAGACAGGAGAUGGACGUUGCAGAACACAAGUGAGUUAUUUACACAUUUAUUUGUUAUCCUGCAUAUGCUAGUAGACUUAACAUAGACAAUGCAGUUUAUUUUACAGAAAUGUUGACAUACAUGUACCAUGACAAAGUGUUCUGUGAUCACAUAAUUGUACAGAUUACUACAUGCAUUCAAAGAUGCUGAUAUGUGCAGAAACAGUCUGCAGCUUAAAGGUGUCUACGGACAUUGAGAUACAAGAUAACAUCAUUUAAACAAAAACAGAAAAGAGGCAGAAGACGUGAGAGGAAGAAAUACAAUGUAGCAAGGAUGCAUGGGAGAACAGGCUAUGGGAUGACACAUUCAUAUUUAACCUCGCUUUCAAACAAAAAAAUAAAACCACACGCUUGCCAUGACGAUAUAUAUCACAAAUGAUCAUGUGAUGAGAAGCAUGCUUGUUCACAGUCCAUCAGCUGUUAGAGUUCAUUUUACCAUUUACACACGAGCAAAGUCACACAGACCCAAAUCCCUUUGCAUCUACUGCUCCCAUAAAGGCUAAUGGGAGAUGCUUCUAUAGUCAUAUGAUGACAUGCUACAGAUCAAUAAGCAGUUGAUUGCCUGGAGUGAGUUUUGAAGAAAACAAAAGAGUUUAACAGUACCGACUUUGAGCCCCACUUAUUUGCCUUUAUUCAACAGGUGCUAAAUGAUGUGAAUCUUUCAUUUGUGCAAUAGUUAAAACUGUAAUUUUGAAAUGCCACAAAAAUGCGCAUGAGAAUCUGCCAUUGACAGAUAAAAAUACUGGGAUACCAGUUAUAAAUAACGUUUAUCUUAUGAGCUGUUCAAAUGAUCAGGGCUCUGAAAUUGUAUUUUUGAGCAUAUGCAAGAACUUAUAAGACAUGAGACAUUUCAUUAUAUCAUAUUUCGUUUUGCUUGUGCUGGCAUCACUUAAAGGGACAGUUCACUCAAAAAUGAAAAGUCUGUCCUUAUUUACUCAUGCUCAUACUUUCUUUAUAUGUUUAGAUAUUUUGAAGACCGUUUUUGUCCAUAUAAUCAAAGUCAGUGCAGCCCAAAACAACA